CCCACAGCCCCUACUGCAUCAUUACCAGCCUGACCUGAGUCCCCUGCUACGACCCAUGCUGCUCCCAUUUCUUCUGCUCCCAUGUGAUGCUGGGCACAGGGAAACUUGGGGGACCCCACCAGGCGCUGAGGCUCUUCCUGGAGUCUGGGGAGAGGGAGAGGUGCCAUCUAGCAAAGGUCUGCAGCAACACCUGCAAACAUGCUGCUUCUGCCCUGCACUGCUCAAGAACAAACUCUGUUCUGCUGCAGCAUCCUGGUGGGCUCUCCACAGCCCCCAUCGAGAGUGUGGCUCCAUCUUCCCCGGCAAGAAGUGCAAGUCCCUUGAGGCCGGGAGCUGCACCCAGCUCACCUGUUUCCCGAACUGGGCCCAGCUGAGGGGCUCCAGACCAUUAUCUCAAGGUCCUUAUCAAGACCUCCCCACUCUGGGCAACCAGGAGCCAGGAUACAAAGUUUUAAGCUAGCCCCUCUCCAGCCGCAAACCCAGGUUGGUUUCUUGGGUUCUUCACCCUGCAACAAGUUGGGCCACCUGCUUUUUUGCAGCUAGACUGAAAGGCAAUUGAUAUGGUUUGUCUCCAGCCAAAUCUCAUCUGGAACUGUAAUCCCCAAGUGUGGAGGGAGGGACCUUGUGGGAGGUGAUUGGAUAAUGGGGACGGUUUCCCCCAUGCUGUUCUUGUGAUGGUGAGUGAGUGCUCAUGAGAUCCGAUGUUUUAAAAGUUUUUGGCGUUUCCCCUCACUGUUCUCUCUCCUGGGGCCAUGAGAAGACGUGCCUUGCUUCCCCUUUGCCUUCUGCCAUGAUUGCAAGUUUCCUGAGGCCUCCCCAG
rnacentral:lncRNA from 10 species